rnacentral:lncRNA from 1 species
AAAGAGAGAGAGAGAGAGAGAAAGAGUAUGUGUAUAUAAGAGAGAAGUGAGAGAGACAGUAUGUCUUUACAAGAGAGAAGUGAAAGAGAGAGCUAAAAAGAGAGAAAGAGAGAGUAUAUGCAUACAAGAGAGAAGUAAGAGAGAGAGAGAGAGAGAGUAUGUGUAUAGAAGAGAGAAGAGAAAAAGAGAGUAUGUGUAUAGAAGAGAGAAGUGACAGAGAAAGAGUAUGUGUAUAGAAGAGAGAAGUGA